UAAUAAUUGUAUGAAAUAAUGCUCUUUAAAAAUUAGUUCUUAAAUUCACCGAUAUAGCAACAAUGUCUCGUUUAUCGUAAGCUUUAUAAAACUCAAAGUAAAAUUGAUGUGACGUAAGGACAGCAGUGGUCGAUAAAAUAAACAGAACGACUUACCGUAUUCGACAGCAUUCGACAAUGCAUUCUCAUUUGAAGGACGGACGACGAUCCUAUCGGACAUAUUCAUUCCAUGCGAUUACGCUGAUCUAUCUGGUUUCUUAUAGAUCAUUCACCGGACGAAGACGAUAACGAUGGUUAUUGCGUUUGGCUGACUCAUCGAUGAAUUAAGAAUUUUAUGUGGCGUAAAUUAGUGGCUCGUGUCGUGACCUUUACGAUUGGAAACAAGGCAAACGUUAUAAUGUAAUUUAUUGCCAGAUAAUUUCAUCUUUUCUCUCCUUAAGCGAGAAUUUCUUUUAUUUUCAUUUUUUUUUUUCUUUUUUUUUACCUUGAAUAUUCCGUAAUUUUCCAUCAAACGAAGAGCAAAUCACACACGCUUUAUAACUUUCCCUCGAUUGAGUAGUUUGCUCGUUAUAACGUUUGCCUUUUCCUUUUUGAUCGAGUUUUAGGUUUUGAAUGGAUCGUGAUUUCAAAAGUAUAUUGUCAAUAUUUGUAGGAGAUCUUUGAAGGAUUUAUCAUUAAACAUUAUCUGAUCAAUUUCAUUUUCUCGAUUAAACGUAGCUUAGAUAAUACCUAGGUACAUUAAUAUCUCAGUGUCAUUGACAAAACGAUUAUUAACUGAAGAGUUAUAUUUUAAUAGAUCGUAUCGUAUAAUAUCUAAAUAUAAGAAAUUUCUCGGUAGCUUAUGUGAAAUUGGUUGGUGUUUGCCGACCUGUUUCAAACGUAACACGUACACCGUUCUCUCUCAUAAGAACGUUCAAAUCGCUUGCGGCUCACGAGCACUUAGCGGCAUAUAUUUAACGUCAUUUUGUUCAUUUUGCCUGUGCCUCUUUAACCCCGAGUACGUUGGGCACCUACAGCGAUCCUGUAAUUGCAUGGAAGGCCGAUUGGAUUUGUGGUGAAUAUGAUAAAUAAUAUAAGAGAUACGUGUACCUCGACUUACAAACGUUCCUCGAUUAACAAAAAUGAAUUAUGAGUCAAGUCAUGAAAGAGUACUGCGUAAACUGGUAUUCACUGAAAUGCGAACGAUUUGAUCAUGGACACGUCUAGUAUUGCGAGGCACGAAAAAUUCCAAAGAACGUGCGUUUACACUACGUUUGGAAUAGUCAUGCGAUUAGUUUAAUGAAUCGUUUCUCGGAAAGAAUUUUGUCCGAUGAGUUCAUCGUUGUGUCCUUAAAAAAAAAAAAAAAAAUAAUUCGAGUCGAUGAAAAACAUAACUGUGGAUCUGCGAAGAUAAUUCUCGAAAUUAUUAAAACAAUUAAAGAGAAAAUAUUGCAUGGGAUUAAUUACAAAUUUCUUGGUAUAUGAUUGGUAUAUGAUUAACAAAAAAAAAAAAAAUAACCACUAUGAAAUCCAAAUUUGACAUACAUAGAUUGUACAUUAAGUUUCUUUUUCUUAUUUUUUUUUUUUUUUUUUAUACGUUAUUUUUAUAAGUUUGUACACAAUAAUAGCUACUUCAUUUGCGAAAAGAAAUGAUUACAAAUAUAAUAUUUACUCAGAAUAAUUUUUCUGCGAAUUUAAACGAAGCAACAGUUGAAUUCAUAAAAGAUGUAAAAUCACGUUUAACUGUGCAAAUAUUUAUCGUCACAGUACGCUUUACAGCUCUAGUAAAUGCAGCAGUAUGAAUGCAUCCUGAGUCGGAUGACUCGUCUUGUUACAUUUCGUUGCGUUCGACUCGUGCCUAAUGUACGUUUGCUGAGAGAUUUGGGCAGGCGCCAAGAGUUAGUAAUGAUGAUGGACAUUCGCUAACUAUAGUUGUCAUGAGAGGGGCAAGGAUAAGCAAGGAAGAGGGACAUGUCACUAUUCAUUUCGUGCCGCUAACCCAAAACGGACAAGAUUACGUGAAUCAACUCGAGUUAACGAUGAUCGAUGAUAUCUCUCUCCUUCUUUCCUAGAUGAAUCGAAUAACUGUGACUGAGAAUAAUUGAUACACUUUUAUAACCGAAUAAAAUCAAUGACGAUCGAAAGAUUUUUUUGGA